UGGGGAAUUUUGGACAAUGGGCGAAAGCCUGAUCCAGCAAUGCCGCGUGUGUGAAGAAGGCCUUCGGGUUGUAAAGCACUUUUGUCCGGAAAGAAAUCCUUGGCUCUAAUACAGUCGGGGGAUGACGGUACCGGAAGAAUAAGCACCGGCUAACUACGUGCCAGCAGCCGCGGUAAUACGUAGGGUGCAAGCGUUAAUCGGAAUUACUGGGCGUAAAGCGUGCGCAGGCGGUUUGCUAAGACCGAUGUGAAAUCCCCGGGCUCAACCUGGGAACUGCAUUGGUGACUGGCAGGCUAGAGUAUGGCAGAGGGGGGUAGAAUUCCACGUGUAGCAGUGAAAUGCGUAGAGAUGUGGAGGAAUACCGAUGGCGAAGGCAGCCCCCUGGGCCAAUACUGACGCUCAUGCACGAAAGCGUGGGGGAGCAAACAGGAUUAGAUACCCUGGUAGUCCACGCCCUAAACGAUGUCAACUAGUUGUUGGGGAUUCAUUUCCUUAGUAACGUAGCUAACGCGUGAAGUUGACCGCCUGGGGAGUACGGUCGCAAAAUUUAAAACUCAAAUGAAUUGACGGGGUCAUAGCUUUUUCC
rnacentral:rRNA from 1 species